rnacentral:rRNA from 1 species
CUAUAAUGCAGUCGAGCGGACAGAUGGGAGCUUGCUCCCUGAUGUUAGCGGCGGACGGGUGAGUAACACGUGGGUAACCUGCCUGUAAGACUGGGAUAACUCCGGGAAACCGGGGCUAAUACCGGAUGGUUGUUUGAACCGCAUGGUUCAGACAUAAAAGGUGGCUUCGGCUACCACUUACAGAUGGACCCGCGGCGCAUUAGCUAGUUGGUGAGGUAACGGCUCACCAAGGCAACGAUGCGUAGCCGACCUGAGAGGGUGAUCGGCCACACUGGGACUGAGACACGGCCCAGACUCCUACGGGAGGCAGCAGUAGGGAAUCUUCCGCAAUGGACGAAAGUCUGACGGAGCAACGCCGCGUGAGUGAUGAAGGUUUUCGGAUCGUAAAGCUCUGUUGUUAGGGAAGAACAAGUGCCGUUCAAAUAGGGCGGCACCUUGACGGUACCUAACCAGAAAGCCACGGCUAACUACGUGCCAGCAGCCGCGGUAAUACGUAGGUGGCAAGCGUUGUCCGGAAUUAUUGGGCGUAAAGGGCUCGCAGGCGGUUUCUUAAGUCUGAUGUGAAAGCCCCCGGCUCAACCGGGGAGGGUCAUUGGAAACUGGGGAACUUGAGUGCAGAAGAGGAGAGUGGAAUUCCACGUGUAGCGGUGAAAUGCGUAGAGAUGUGGAGGAACACCAGUGGCGAAGGCGACUCUCUGGUCUGUAACUGACGCUGAGGAGCGAAAGCGUGGGGAGCGAACAGGAUUAGAUACCCUGGUAGUCCACGCCGUAAACGAUGAGUGCUAAGUGUUAGGGGGUUUCCGCCCCUUAGUGCUGCAGCUAACGCAUUAAGCACUCCGCCUGGGGAGUACGGUCGCAAGACUGAAACUCACAGGAAUUGACGGGGGCCCGCACAAGCGGUGGAGCAUGUGGUUUAAUUCGAAGCAACGCGAAGAACCUUACCAGGUCUUGACAUCCUCUGACAAUCCUAGAGAUAGGACGUCCCCUUCGGGGGCAGAGUGACAGGUGGUGCAUGGUUGUCGUCAGCUCGUGUCCUGAAAUGUUGGGUUAAGUCCCGCAACGAGCGCAACCCUUGAUCCUAGUUGCCAGCAUUCAUUUGGGCACUCUAAGGGGAACGGCCGGGGAACAACCCGGAGAAAGGUGGGGGAUACACCUCAAAUACCUCUGGCCCCUUAUGAACCUGGGGCUCAACCCGGGCCAAA